rnacentral:rRNA from 1 species
AGUGGCGGACGGGUGAGUAACGCGUGGGUAACCUGCCUUGCACUGGGGGAUAACACUUAGAAAUAGGUGCUAAUACCGCAUAAGCGCACGGUCCUGCAUGGGACAGUGUGAAAAACUCCGGUGGUGCAAGAUGGACCCGCGUCUGAUUAGCUGGUUGGCGGGGUAAAGGCCCACCAAGGCGACGAUCAGUAGCCGGCCUGAGAGGGUGGACGGCCACAUUGGGACUGAGACACGGCCCAAACUCCUACGGGAGGCAGCAGUGGGGGAUAUUGGACAAUGGGGGGAACCCUGAUCCAGCGACGCCGCGUGAGUGAAGAAGUAUUUCGGUAUGUAAAGCUCUGUCAGCAGGGAAGAAAGCAAUGACGGUACCUGACCAAGAAGCCCCGGCUAACUACGUGCCAGCAGCCGCGGUAAUACGUAGGGGGCAAGCGUUAUCCGGAAUUACUGGGUGUAAAGGGAGCGUAGACGGCUGUGCAAGUCUGGAGUGAAAGGCGGGGGCCCAACCCCCGGACUGCUCUGGAAACUGUAUGGCUGGAGUGCGGGAGAGGUAAGCGGAAUUCCUAGUGUAGCGGUGAAAUGCGUAGAUAUUAGGAGGAACACCAGUGGCGAAGGCGGCUUACUGGACUGUAACUGACGUUGAGGCUCGAAAGCGUGGGGAGCAAACAGGAUUAGAUACCCUGGUAGUCCACGCCGUAAACGAUGAUUACUA